rnacentral:rRNA from 1 species
GACGAACGCUGGCGGCGUGCCUAAUACAUGCAAGUGGGACGCAAGGAAACACACUGUGCUUGCACACCGUGUUUUCUUGAGUCGCGAACGGGUGAGUAACGCGUAGGUAACCUGCCUUUUAGCGGGGGAUAACUAUUGGAAACGAUAGCUAAUACCGCAUAAUAUUAAUUAUUGCAGGAUAAUUGAUUGAAAGAUGCAAGCGCAUCACUAGUAGAUGGACCUGCGUUGUAUUAGCUAGUUGGUAAGGUAAGAGCUUACCAAGGCGACGAUACAUAGCCGACCUGAGAGGGUGAUCGGCCACACUGGGACUGAGACACGGCCCAGACUCCUACGGGAGGCAGCAGUAGGGAAUCUUCGGCAAUGGACGAAAGUCUGACCGAGCAACGCCGCGUGAGUGAAGAAGGUUUUCGGAUCGUAAAGCUCUGUUGUAAGUCAAGAACGUGUGUGAGAGUGGAAAGUUCACACAGUGACGGUAGCUUACCAGAAAGGGACGGCUAACUACGUG